ACAUCCACAUCUAUGAUAAUCCAACAUUUAAAAGAUGUUGAAUUCCAGGUAUAUGAGGAGUAAAACUUUUGGGAAAUUCUGAUUUAUAACUAGCAUUUAACUUCCAUGUAAUAUGACCUCAAAGACGGUGGAACUUACUUCGCCAAGCCGAGGUUGGGUGAAACUCUGCCAGUCCGUGUACGCGUAUCUGCCAGUAUCUCCCUGCCCCACUCCCUUGACGGACUCCAAGGUCUGAUGUCCACCUCCUUUGUUGGAAUCCAAAGUGUAGCCUCCUUUGACCAUCUCAAAACUUUGCUGCGUUUUGAUUCCCUGGCCACCAACAGUACCAACAGACAUGCUUGUGUCACAAAUGUUGGAUGUCUGCAUGGGGAGUCUAAUAUUUGCUUCCUAAAAGUAAAGUGAGAGUGAUAAAGUGAAUUUGAAAAAUGGAAACUAACAAUUCAUUUUCAUUUUUUUCACCAUAGGCAAAUCACUUGCCUGCUGUGCCUCUCUGUUCCUCAUACAUAAAAUCAGAAUAAUAGUAUCAUAGGUGUGAUGGGUUGAAUUGAGUCCCCUAAAAAUUCAUAUGCCCUAACCCUCAGUAACUCAGAAUGUGAACUUAUUUGGAAAUAGGGUCAUUGUAGAUGUAAUUAGCUAAGAUGAGGUUAUAUGGGAUUAGAGUGGGUCCCUAAGCGAAUAUAAUCAGUGUCCUUAUAAAAAGGGGAAAUUUGGACACAGACAUGCACACACGGAGAACGCCAUAUGAAGAUUUGAUUUCCACUGCCAUAAGCCAGGGAAUUGGCAGAAGCUAGGAGAGAGUCCCGGAACAGAUCCCUCCCCAGUUCCUUCAGAGGGAGCACGGACCUACCAACACCUUGAUCUCUGAUUUCUAGUCUCCAGAUCUGUGAAACAAUACUUGUCUGUUGUUUAAGUCACUCAGUUUGUUGUGACAGCCCUAGCCCUGUAGAAUUGGGAGGUUUAAAUGAUUUAAAACAUUGAGGGCACUUGAAACUCUGCUUAGCAUAGUAAGUGCUCAAUAAACAUUAGUGAUAUUAUCA
rnacentral:antisense_RNA from 1 species